rnacentral:tRNA from 1 species
AGUUUAGCUCAGUUGGUAGAGCGGCUGAUUUGUAAUCAGUAGGUCGUUGGUUCAAAUCCGACAACUG